UGGCCAGAGGGGCCUUACUCUGUUCUCUGCAGUAGAUAUUAACUUUAUUAACUUUGUUCCUUUUGCAAGUUAAGUUGGUUCUUUGUGAAGGUGGGUGCGUGCGAGUGUGGUCUCUGUUACCCUGUCUGUAACAUGGAGAGGAUAACCCCAGCUCAAAGGCCUCCCUCAGGUCUGCUGAGAGGAUCAAGUGGGAUAUCAUCUGAUAAAGUGAUUUGACUUUUACAAAGGACUGUCCAAAUAGAAGGUUGUGGUGUUAUCUCUGACAUCUGAAGCGAGGUCCUUGGAUGUUCCUGGAGUCAAACCUGACAACAAGGAAACUUUCAGCAUGACCGAGAAAAGGGUCUCCCUUAGCUCAGCUCCUGGGAGGGCCCCUGAAGGAGAUAUAAAAUGUGAGUCUGUGGGUGGGAGUGAUUGUGCUGGGCAUAUUUAAUGUAUGUCAGCAUUCACUCACACUUUUGAGUGUGCACAUCUUAUUUCUUGUAUAUACAAAACUGAUGUGUGUGAAUGCCUGUGUCAAUAUGGUGGGCAGAGAGGGUCAUUUAUUCGUUCAUUCCAGGAAUGAGUUUUGAGGAUUUACUCUGCUCUCUAGAUGCUGGAGAUUCAGUGGAGAACAAGACAGACUAGCAUUUGCAUUUCUGAAGUUUGGGGAGUCCCAGAUCAAAACACUGCCAUUGGUCUCUGGUAAAGGUUGCUGUCUGCCUCUGAGAUGAUGCCUUGUUGCUGCGUCUUCCAGAGUGGAGGAACACUGCGUCCUCACAUGGUGGAAGGCAGAAG
rnacentral:lncRNA from 1 species